rnacentral:RNase_P_RNA from 2 species
GAGACGGGCAGCCGCGGGAGUUUUUAUAGAACUCCUGAGGAAAGUCCGGGCUCCCUAGGGCAGGGUGCUGGAUAACGUCCAGUAGGGGCAACCUUCAGGAAAGUGCCACAGAAAUGUUAGACCGCCUAACUUUCAUAAGAAAGUUCAGGUAAGGGUGCAACGGCGGGGUAAGAGCCCACCGGCAGUGCGGAGACGUGCUGGCCAGGUAAACCCCACUUGGAGCAAGAUCAGCAGAAGGAGCGUCUUAAGCGCCCGGCGGCCCGUCGGAUCCCUUCUCAAAAGAUCGCUAGAGGAACAUGGCAACAUGUUUCACAGAUAAAUGGCUGCCAUCAGCUUUAUAAGCAGAUACAGAACCCGGCUUACAGUCUCAC